GACGAACGCUGGCGGCGUGCUUAACACAUGCAAGUCGAACGGAAAGGCCCUGCUUUUGUAGGGUCCUCGAGUGGCGCACGCGUGAGUAUCACGUGUGUAACCUGCCCUUGACUGCGGGAUACCUUCAGGAAACUGGGGUGAAUAUCGCACAUGAGCUCCUGCUGCAUGGUGGUGAUUGGAGAGAUUCGGCGGUUCGGGAUUGACUCACGGCUUAUCAGCUUGUUGGGUGGGUAGUGGCUUACCAAGGCUUUGACGGGUAGCCGACCUGAGGGGGUGAACGGCGACAAUGGGACUGAGGGACGGACCAGAAUGCUACGGGAGGCAGCAGUGGGGAAUAUUGCACAAUGGGCGGGAGCCUGAUGCAGCAACGCCGCGUGCGGGAUGACGGCCUUCGGGUUGUAAACCGCUUUCGCCUGUGACGAAGCGUGAGUGACGGUAAUGGGUAAAGAAGCACAGGCUAACUACGUG
rnacentral:rRNA from 1 species